ACUCCUACGGGAGGCAGCAGUGGGGAAUAUUGCACAAUGGGCGCAAGCCUGAUGCAGCGACGCCGCGUGAGGGAUGACGGCCUUCGGGUUGUAAACCUCUUUCAGUACAGACGAAGCGUGAGUGACGGUAUGUACAGAAGAAGCACCGGCCAACUACGUGCCAGCAGCCGCGGUAAUACGUAGGGUGCGAGCGUUGUCCGGAAUUACUGGGCGUAAAGAGCUCGUAGGUGGUUUGUCGCGUUGUUCGUGAAAACCGGAGGCUCAACCUCUGGCGUGCGGGCGAUACGGGCAGACUGGAGUACUGCAGGGGAGACUGGAAUUCCUGGUGUAGCGGUGGAAUGCGCAGAUAUCAGGAGGAACACCGGUGGCGAAGGCGGGUCUCUGGGCAGUAACUGACGCUGAGGAGCGAAGGCGUGGGGAGCGAACAGGAUUAGAUACCCUGGUAGUCCACGCCGUAAACGGUGGGUACUAGGUGUGGGUUUCCUUCCUUGGGAUCCGUGCCGUAGCUAACGCAUUAAGUACCCCGCCUGGGGAGUACGGCCGCAAGGCUAAAACUCAAAGAAAUUGACGGGGGCCCGCACAAGCGGCGGAGCAUGUGGAUUAAUUCGAUGCAACGCGAAGAACCUUACCUGGGUUUGACAUGCACAGGACGCCGGCAGAGAUGUCGGUUCCCUUGUGGCCUGUGUGCAGGUGGUGCAUGGCUGUCGUCAGCUCGUGUCGUGAGAUGUUGGGUUAAGUCCCGCAACGAGCGCAACCCUUGUCUCAUGUUGCCAGCACGUAAUGGUGGGGACUCGUGAGAGACUGCCGGGGUCAACUCGGA
rnacentral:rRNA from 1 species